CCUACGGGAGGCAGCAGUGAGGAAUAUUGGUCAAUGGACGAGAGUCUGAACCAGCCAAGUAGCGUGAAGGAUGACUGCCCUAUGGGUUGUAAACUUCUUUUAUAUGGGAGUAAAAUGUUCCACGUGUGGGAUUUUGUAUGUACCAUAUGAAUAAGGCUCGGCUAACUCCGUACCAGCAGCCGCGGUAAGACGGAGGACCCGAGCGUUAUCCGGAUUUAUUUGGUUUAAAGGGCGCGUAGGUGGGUCGUGAAAUCAGUUGUGAAAGUUUGCGGCGCAACCGUAAAAUUGCAGUUGAAACUGGCAGUCUUGAGUAAAGUAGAGGUGGGCGGAAUUCGUGGUGUAGCGGUGAAAUGCUGAGAUAUCACGAAGAACUCCGAUUGCGAAGGCAGCUCACUGGACUGCAACUGACACUGAGGCUCGAAAGUGUGGGUAUCAAACAGGAUUAGAUACCCUUGUAGUC
rnacentral:rRNA from 1 species